UCGGGAAUUUUGGGCAAUGGGCGAAAGCCUGACCCAGCAACGCCGCGUGGGGGAUGAAGGUCUUCGGAUCGUAAACCCCUGUCGAAUGGGACGAAAGACUCGCGAGUGAAUACUUCGCGAGAGUGACGGUACCGUUAAAGGAAGCCACGGCUAACUCUGUGCCAGCAGCCGCGGUAAUACAGAGGUGGCAAGCGUUGUUCGGAAUUACUGGGCGUAAAGGGCGCGUAGGCGGCCCUCUAAGUCAGACGUGAAAUCCCCCGGCUUAACCUGGGAACUGCGUCUGAUACUGGAGGGCUUGAGUAUGGGAGAGGGAUGUAGAAUUCCAGGUGUAGCGGUGAAAUGCGUAGAUAUCUGGAGGAAUACCGGUGGCGAAGGCGGCAUCCUGGACCAUUACUGACGCUGAGGCGCGAAAGCUAGGGGAGCAAACGGGAUUAGAUACCCACGUAGUCCCUGAGCGGGCUGGCA
rnacentral:rRNA from 1 species